GACGAACGCUGGCGGCGUGCUUAACACAUGCAAGUCGAACGGAAAGGCCCUGCUUUUGUGGGGUGCUCGAGUGGCGAACGGGUGAGUAACACGUGAGUAACCUGCCCUUGACUUUGGGAUAACUUCAGGGAACUGGGGCUAAUACCGGAUAGGAGCUCCUGCUGCAUGGUGGGGGUUGGAAAGUUUCGGCGGUUGGGGCUGGACUCGCGGCUUGUCAGCUUGUUGGUGGGGUAGUGGCUUACCAAGGCUUUGACGGGUAGCCGGCCUGAGAGGGUGACCGGCCACAUUGGGACUGAGAUACGGCCCAGACUCCUACGGGAGGCAGCAGUGGGGAAUAUUGCACAAUGGGCGGAAGCCUGAUGCAGCAACGCCGCGUGCGGGAUGACGGCCUUCGGGUUGUAAACCGCUUUCGCCUGUGACGAAGCGUGAGUGACGGUAAUGGGUAAAGAAGCACCGGCUAACUACGUG
rnacentral:rRNA from 1 species